UCUUCAUUCUUCACACUAUCUCACCCGUCGGAGGGACGAGAGAGCGUGCACAAUGAGGAGA
rnacentral:pre_miRNA from 1 species